rnacentral:rRNA from 1 species
GACGAACGCUGGCGGCGUGCUUAACACAUGCAAGUCGAACGGAAAGGCCCUGCCUUUGUGGGGUGCUCGAGUGGAGAACGGGUGAGUAACACGUGAGUAACCUGCCCCUGACUUUGGGAUAACUUCAGGAAACUGGGGCUAAUACCGGAUAGGAGCUCUUGCUGCAGGGUGGGGGCUGGUAAGUUUCGGUGGUUGGGGAUGGACUCGCGGCUUAUCAGCUUGUUUGGGUGGUAGUGGCUUACCAAGGCUUGGACGGGUAGCAUGCCUGGUAGGAUGACCGGCUCCGUUAGGCCUGAGAUACGACCCAGCCUCCUACGGGACGCAACGGUGGAGAGUAUUACACAGUAGGCUGAGGGCUGGUGCAACAACGCCGCGUGCGGUAAGUCGGGCUUCGCGUAGUGAUCUACUUUCGCCUGAGCCGGAGCGUGAGUGACGGUAAUGGGUGAAGAAGCACCGGCUAACUACGUG